AUGCUCAUCGAGCGGUCACAAUGGGAGCUUGCUCCCUGAUGUUAGCGGCGGACGGGUGAGUAACACGUGGGUAACCUGCCUGUAAGACUGGGAUAACUCCGGGAAACCGGGGCUAAUACCGGAUGGUUGUUUGAACCGCAUGGUUCAAACAUAAAAGGUGGCUUCGGCUACCACUUACAGAUGGACCCGCGGCGCAUUAGCUAGUUGGUGAGGUAACGGCUCACCAAGGCAACGAUGCGUAGCCGACCUGAGAGGGUGAUCGGCCACACUGGGACUGAGACACGGCCCAGACUCCUACGGGAGGCAGCAGUAGGGAAUCUUCCGCAAUGGACGAAAGUCUGACGGAGCAACGCCGCGUGAGUGAUGAAGGUUUUCGGAUCGUAAAGCUCUGUUGUUAGGGAAGAACAAGUACCGUUCGAAUAGGGCGGUACCUUGACGGUACCUAACCAGAAAGCCACGGCUAACUACGUGCCAGCAGCCGCGGUAAUACGUAGGUGGCAAGCGUUGUCCGGAAUUAUUGGGCGUAAAGGGCUCGCAGGCGGUUUCUUAAGUCUGAUGUGAAAGCCCCCGGCUCAACCGGGGAGGGUCAUUGGAAACUGGGGAACUUGAGUGCAGAAGAGGAGAGUGGAAUUCCACGUGUAGCGGUGAAAUGCGUAGAGAUGUGGAGGAACACCAGUGGC
rnacentral:rRNA from 1 species